CAGUAGCCGCGGUAAAACGGAGGGUGCAAGCGUUAAUCGGAAUUACUGGGCGUAAAGCGCACGCAGGCGGUCUGACAAGUCAGAUGUGAAAUCCCCGGGCUUAACCUGGGAACUGCAUUUGAAACUGUCAGGCUGGAGUCUUGUAGAGGGGGGUGGAAUUCCAGGUGUAGCGGUGAAAUGCGUAGAGAUCUGGAGGAAUACCGGUGGCGAAGGCGGCCCCCUGGACAAAGACUGACGCUCAGGUGCGAAAGCGUGGGGAGCAAACAGGAUUAGAUACCCCCGUAGUCCCUGUUUCUUAUAC
rnacentral:rRNA from 1 species